AAGAAGAAGCGUGUCUCUCCCUUCCGCAUCUCUCUCACACAACUUACUUCUUUUGAGAGUAUCGAUAUACUAUUUCCUGUAUUAGCUCCUAUAACAAGACAUUAGCUCUUUCGAAAAGGGAAACGAAAACAUGGCGAAUGAUCAGGCCAACGAAGAUCCAUUGAAGAAGGUGUUUGUUGGUGGUUUGGACAGGUCCACAUCAGAUGAAGCUUUAAAGACGUAUUUUGAGUCUUACGGAGAAAUGACAGACUGCGUGGUAAUACGCGAUGGAGGCAAGGCUUCUAGAGGAUUCGGCUACGUGACUUUCGCCGAAAGAGAAAGCGUCUUAAAGGUCUUAGGAGAAAAACCCCAUACGAUCGAUGGCAAAACCGUCGAAGUAAAGCGAGCUAUUCCUAGAAAUGAAGACAGCGCAACAGCUCAUCAUAGAACAAAGAAACUCUUUAUUGGUGGAUUGAAAGACGAGACGACCAUGGAAGACAUAAAGCAAGCCGUCGCCGAGUCAGCACGCGGAAUUGCGCCAACCCUUGUGGACCUGAUCAUGAAGAAAGACGAGCCGAAAAAGCAUCGUGGUUUCUGCUUCGUUGAAUUUGAAGACGAGGAUAUAGUGGAUGAACUUUGUUGCCUCAAAAGGAUCACAAUCUCCGGCAAACAAGUUGAAAUCAAGAAAGCUCAACCUAAAGAUGGUCAGGGGGCACGUUCGGGGGGUCGUGGUGGACGCGGAGGGGGUCGUGGAUUUAGCCAUCGUGAUCGCAGUGGUGGUGGAGGUGGACAGUACACAUACAAUAUGUAUGGCGGUCAUGGAUACCAGCAAUACUCUGAUCCUAGUUAUUACAGCGGCUAUGAUGGUUAUGGAUACGACAAUGGUUACGGUAACAUGGGUAACUACCAGCAAGCUCCUUCAAACUUUGGCUCACAGCACGGUGGAUAUGGAAGGGGUGGCGGUCCAAGACAACGGUACACACCAUACUAGAAAAGUGUAUCUCGUGGUGCUGUACUUAAUUAUCUGCAUUGCACUGAUGCAGCAACAAGGGGGAAGCAGAGUAUGUUGUGUUUAAAAUAUGAAUGCUACACUAGAAACAGCAAUAGAGUGCAGACAACUCUGAGAGAAUUCAACUAAGAAGAUUACGAAUUAAACCAGUGUAAAAACCUAGCCAACAAAUGUCUGGGUAGGAGACAUUGAAAAGUGAAAAUGGAGUAGCUUGGGUCCUGGCACAAUGUCCAUCUCUGACAGAGAAUUUUCACUGAUGAAUAUCAUUUACAUUUACCCAUUUAAGCUUUGGGAAAAAUAUAUUAAUUAAUUAUUAAUUAUAUUCAAAAAGAAAGAAACAGCAUGAGUGGUGUUCUUUAUGUCUUCUUACAGAGUGCCCAAUGGCAAGCCCAAUCACCAACCACUCGCCCAUUAAUUUUCAUGCAAUUAAAUUGGCCACUUUAUAUCACAUGCAAAGUGACCAGACAGUUAGCAAGCAAUAACCACUGUCUACAUCAAUAUUUGCCCUCAGGUUAUUUCUGUUGGAAAAGAAGCAAAAGGAACCCCAAGCAUUUCACCUUUUCAUCUUUAUUACAUGGAAGAAGGACAAACUCAUUUUUUUGGUCUAGUGAUAGUGACAUUAAAAAGAUGAUCUCAAAUGCUUCUCCAGAAAGUUCCAAAAAGUCAACAAAAUUUGCUGUCAAGGAGAGUUUUAAAAUUUGAGAGGAGGGUUAUAAUUCAAUAGAGCCCCUUCUGGCUUGCUGCUGUGUCAGCUGAUAAAGCCCUUGACUCAGAGAUUUUCUCAAAUUCUCGCAUUUGCCCUCAAAGCUUUGUUUCUCAGCCAAUUAUUCUUAUCUCUUAGUUAGGGACCCUAUCAGCUGACGUACCACGCGCCAGAAGGGAUAAAUUUACUCAACAAACCUCGAUUUCAUGUGAUUCCACUUGGCGAAUUUUCUCUUGCAACAUGUUCCUUGUCCAAAAAGUCAGGUAGUUCAGACAGUUUUGCCAACAUUCUGUAAUUUUUCAGUUUUCUGAUUAUUUCCAAUUAGCUCAAACAUUUUGAUUAAUAAAGGUAUUCGAUUUGAA